rnacentral:rRNA from 1 species
AUUGAACGCUGGCGGCAUGCUUUACACAUGCAAGUCGAACGGUAACAGGGAGCUUGCUCCGCUGACGAGUGGCGAACGGGUGAGUAAUGCAUCGGAACAUGCCCAGUCAUGGGGGAUAACUACGCGAAAGCGUAGCUAAUACCGCAUACGCCCUGAGGGGGAAAGUGGGGGAUCUUAGGACCUCACGUGAUUGGAGUGGCCGAUGUCAGAUUAGCUAGUUGGUGAGGUAAAGGCUCACCAAGGCGACGAUCUGUAGCGGGUCUGAGAGGAUGAUCCGUCACACUGGGACUGAGACACGGCCCAGACUCCUACGGGAGGCAGCAGUGGGGAAUUUUGGACAAUGGGCGCGAGCCUGAUCCAGCCAUGCCGCGUGAGUGAAGAAGGCCUCGG